rnacentral:rRNA from 1 species
CCUACGGGAGGCAGCAGUGAGGAAUAUUGGUCAAUGGACGAGAGUCUGAACCAGCCAAGUAGCGUGAAGGAUGACUGCCCUAUGGGUUGUAAACUUCUUUUAUAUGGGAAUAAAACGCUCCACGUGUGGGAUUUUGUAUGUACCAUAUGAAUAAGGAUCGGCUAACUCCGUGCCAGCAGCCGCGGUAAUACGGAGGAUCCGAGCGUUUUCCGGAUUUAUUGGGGUUAAAGGGAGCGUAGGUGGAUUGUUAAGUCAGUUGUGAAAGUUUGCGGCUCAACCGUAAAAUUGCAGUUGAAACUGGCAGUCUUGAGUACAGUAGAGGUGUGCGGAAUUCGUGGUGUAGCGGUGAAAUGCUUAGAUAUCACGAAGAACUCCGAUUGCGAAGGCAGUUCACUGGACUGCAACUGACACUGAGGCUCGAAAGUGUGGGUAUCAAACAGGAUUAGAUACCCGGGUAGUC